AGACAAUUUUUACUACAGAGCGGUGCGGUAUGGUCAAAAUACUAUUAUGGGCCAAAAUAUCAAAGCAGUUUAAAAAAAAAACUGUGUAAAAAAUUGGAGGGAAAAAGUAGGUGUUUAGACGCGUGCAAACUACAAUCACCUAAAAUCUUUCAAGACGCAAAUAAUUAUUGUUUUAUUUAAAAAGCUAUGAGCGCAGAAAAUAAAUUUUCAGAAUAUACAAAUGAUCCAAUGGUGGAUAUUAGCAAAUCGACGAUCGAGAACAAUCUCUCUGAAUUACACAAGAUCAUAGACGAAAUAAAUCAAAUGCGAGUGGCCGUAGCGCGGGCACACAGUGACGUGCUGCUAUCAGUGCGCGCGCCGGGCUGGCGUGACGUGGCGUAUCUAGUGGCUGUCACUCCGGCGCCGCUCUGCCUGCUUCCCGGUUCUGAUGACUGCUGAUACCAGAUACACGCCUCUAUGACCAAAUAAAACCUAUUUUCCAUCA